UACGGAGGGAGCUAGCGUUGUUCGGAAUUACUGGGCGUAAAGCGCACGUAGGCGGCUUUGUAAGUUAGAGGUGAAAGCCCGGAGCUCAACUCCGGAACUGCCUUUAAGACUGCAUCGCUUGAAUCCAGGAGAGGUGAGUGGAAUUCCGAGUGUAGAGGUGAAAUUCGUAGAUAUUCGGAAGAACACCAGUGGCGAAGGGACGG
rnacentral:rRNA from 1 species